rnacentral:miRNA from 1 species
UGCCACCGCUCUUUGGAGCCUGCUC